UGCUGGAGGUAUCAGAAGUGCGAAUGCUGACAUAAGUAACGAUAAAGCGGGUGAAAAGCCCGCUCGCCGGAAGACCAAGGGUUCCUGUCCAACGUUAAUCGGGGCAGGGUGAGUCGACCCCUAAGGCGAGGCCGAAAGGCGUAGUCGAUGGGAAACGGGUUAAUAUUCCCGUACUUGGUGUUACUGCGAAGGGGGGACGGAGAAGGCUAUGUUGGCCGGGCGACGGUUGUCCCGGUUUAAGCGUGUAGGUGUGUGUUCCAGGUAAAUCCGGUUCACUUUAACACUGAGGCGUGACGACGAGGCACUACGGUGCUGAAGCAACAAAUGCCCUGCUUCCAGGAAAAGCCUCUAAGCAUCAGGUAACAUCAAAUCGUACCCCAAACCGACACAGGUGGUCAGGUAGAGAAUACCAAGGCGCUUGAGAGAACUCGGGUGAAGGAACUAGGCAAAAUGGUGCCGUAACUUCGGGAGAAGGCACGCUGA
rnacentral:rRNA from 2 species